GGGGGCCGCAGGGGAGGACGGCGUUAGGCUAGGGGGCCGCAGGGGAGGACGGUGUUGGGCUGGGGGGCCGCAGGGGAGGACAGCGUUAGGCUAGGGGGCCGCAGGGGAGGACGGCGUUAGGCUAGGGGGCCGCAGGGGAGGACGGCGUUAGGCUUGGGGGCCGCAGGGGAGGACGGCGUUGGGCUAGGGGGCCGCAGGGGAGGAUGGCGUUAGGCUAGGGGGCCGCAGGGGAGGACGGUGUUAGGCAAGGGGGCCCCAGGGGAGGACGGUGUUAGGCUUGGGGGCCGCAGGGGAGGACGGCGUUGGGCUAGGG
rnacentral:lncRNA from 1 species